rnacentral:rRNA from 1 species
UGUCUUUUAGAAAUUAAUUUAAAGUCUAACCUGCCCACUGAAUUUUUUUUAAAUGGCCGCAGUAUCCUAACUGUGCAAAGGUAGCAUAAUCAUUAGUCUUUUAAUUGAAGGCUGGAAUGAAUGGUUGGAUGAAAUAUUAACUGUUUCAUAAAAAUUUAUAAUAGAAUUUUAUUUUUUAGUCAAAAAGCUAAAAUUUAAUUAAAAGACGAGAAGACCCUAUAAAUCUUUAUAUUAAUCAAAUUACAGUUAUUUAGACAAUUUAAAUUUUAAUUUCUUUUAAUAUUUUAUUGGGGUGAUAUUAAAAUUUAAUAAACUUUUAAUUUAUAAUUAACAUAAAUUAAUGAAUUUUUGAUCCAUUUAUAAUGAUUAAAAAAUUAAGUUACUUUAGGGAUAACAGCGUAAUUUUUUUAGAGAGUUCAUAUUGAUAAAAAAGAUUGCGACCUCGAUGUUGGAUUAAGAUACAGUUUUAGGUGCAGCAGCUUAAACUUAAAGUCUGUUCGACUUUUAAAUUCUUACAUGAUCUGAGUUC